rnacentral:rRNA from 1 species
GACGUAGGGCGCGAGCGUUGUCCGGAUUUAUUGGGCGUAAAGAGCUCGUAGGCGGCUUGUCGCGUCGACUGUGAAAUCCCGUGGCUCAACUGCGGGCUUGCAGCCGAUACAGGCAGGCUAGAGUUCGGUAGGGGAGAGUGGAAUUCCUGGUGUAGCGGUGAAAUGCGCAGAUAUCAGGAAGAACACCAAUGGCGAAGGCAGCUCUCUGGGACGGUGCUGACGCUGAGACGCGAAAGCGUGGGGAGCGAACAGG